AUGGCGAACGAAGAGGGAACAGCCCAUCCUUAAAUCGUGCUAGUUUAGGCUGGUAUGAGAUGUGGGGUGGAGGUGGUACUCCUGGGUGUGGCAUGGACAAAAUUGUGUUUAGACAGCACGUUCCUUUGGGAUGCAAUACAAGGUGAUAGCCCUGUUUAUCGUCCAUGCGUCGUAUGACUCCACAUUCAACUGCGAGAAUUACCUAAGAGUAGGAUUGUUUAAAAGUACAAUCUGAAUACGGGAGAUAAACUUCUUCCAAGGCUAAAUACUAAUACAAGAGACCAAUAGCGAACAAGUACUGUAAAGGAAAGUUGAAAAGUACACUGUUAAGUGGGUGAAAAAGCGUCUGAAAUUAUGAAGAAUUAAGCGUGAUCAGCGCGUUAUAGGAGACUGGGGGCUCAAUAUGGUCUUUGAAUCAUACUACUUCCCCAGUUCGAUCAGCGUCGUUCUACUUUGUAGAACGAUCAACCGAUGAACAACCAACUUAAGAACAUGUUGUUAUAUUUCCUGGCAACACCCUGGUUUCAUUCCUGUGGAGCUCUGCUUCAUAGGGUGUGCUAGGGUUAGUUGGGUUAUAGUGGCAUGUU
rnacentral:rRNA from 1 species